rnacentral:rRNA from 1 species
CGCGUAGGCGGUUGUGAUAGUCAGAUGUGAAAUCCUCCGGCUCAACUGGAGAACUGCAUCUGAAACUUCAUAACUCGAGUACAGGAGAGGGAAACGGAAUUCCCGGUGUAGAGGUGAAAUUCGUAGAUAUCGGGAGGAACACCAGUGGCGAAGGCGGUUUCCUGGCCUGAUACUGACGCUGAGGCGCGAAAGCGUGGGGAGCAAACAG